CGUUUCAAGCCUCGCAAUAAGUGUAAUUACUUCUCUUCUCUUCUCUUAGCCUUCCUCUCAGAUCGCUUACUUCAAUUCUUUUCUUUUCUUUCUUUAUUUUUCACAUUUAGUUGAUUUUUUUUUGUUACUAUUAUUAAUUCUUUAUCUGACAAAAAUGUUUUAUGUUGUUGCUGGCUGUUUGUUUCUUGGGAUUUUGCAUUUUUUUUUUAAUUUUCAUGUGAAUAUUAGCCAAAUUGAACCCAUGCAUGACAUACUGGAUUGAGAAAAUUUUUCAUCCCAAGAUAAGGAUCGACUGCAUAUGAUUAAGGUUUAGUGUUUUAAUUAUUAGUAUUAUUAGCAG
rnacentral:misc_RNA from 1 species